UACGGGGGGUGCAAACGUUGUUCGGAAUCACUGGGCGUAAAGGGCGCGUAGGCGGCCUUCUAAGUCAGACGUGAAAUCCCCCGGCUUAACCUGGGAACUGCGUCUGAUACUGGGAGGCUUGAGUAUGGGAGAGGGAUGUAGAAUUCCAGGUGUAGCGGUGAAAUGCGUAGAUAUCUGGAGGAAUACCGGUGGCGAAGGCGGCAUCCUGGACCAUAACUGACGCUGAGGCGCGAAAGCUAGGGGAGCAAACGGG
rnacentral:rRNA from 1 species